CAAGCGUCUGGGGUAAGGAGUCGCUGCCAUCAGCGCCCCCCCCACUGAUGAGUCUAGGCAGUGACUCCCGAGACGAAACGCAUU
rnacentral:hammerhead_ribozyme from 17 species